UACGUAGGGAGCAAGCGUUGUUCGGAUUUACUGGGCGUAAAGGGCGCGUAGGCGGCAGAUCAAGUCAGCUGUGAAAUCUCCGAGCUUAACUCGGAACUGUCAGCUGAUACUGUUUUGCUAGAGUGCGGAAGGGGCAAUCGGAAUUCUUGGUGUAGCGGUGAAAUGCGUAGAUAUCAAGAGGAACACCUGAGGUGAAGACGGGUUGCUGGGCCGACACUGACGCUGAGUGCGCGAAAGCCAGGGGAGCGAACAGG
rnacentral:rRNA from 1 species